CCUACGGGAGGCAGCAGUGGGGAAUAUUGGGCAAUGGAGGAAACUCUGACCCAGCGACGCCGCGUGCGGGAUGAAGGCCUUCGGGUUGUAAACCGCUUUCAGCAGGGAAGAAGCGAAAGUGACGGUACCUGCAGAAGAAGCACCGGCUAACUAUGUGCCAGCAGCCGCGGUAAUACAUAGGGUGCAAGCGUUGUCCGGAAUUAUUGGGCGUAAAGAGCUCGUAGGUGGUUCGUCACGUCGGAUGUGAAAAUCUGGGGCUUAACCCCAGACCUGCAUUCGAUACGGGCGAGCUUGAGUAUGGUAGGGGAGUCUGGAAUUCCUGGUGUAGCGGUGGAAUGCGCAGAUAUCAGGAGGAACACCAAUGGCGAAGGCAGGACUCUGGGCCAUUACUGACACUGAGGAGCGAAAGCGUGGGGAGCGAACAGGAUUAGAUACCCUGGUAGUCCACGCCGUAAACGGUGGGCACUAGUUGUGGGGACCUUCCACGGUCUCUGCGACGCAGCUAACGCAUUAAGUGCCCCGCCUGGGGAGUACGAUCGCAAGAUUAAAACUCAAAUGAAUUGACGG
rnacentral:rRNA from 1 species